UGCAGCACAGACUGAAGCAUGCUGUGGAUUCUGCUGCUGAUCUGUGGGCUCUGCACGGAGAGACACACUGCUGCAGGCCAGAGAGAUGGAGAAAUUAUCAGCCAGAUCAAAACAACUAACCUGGCACUGGCUGAGAUUAAAGAGCUACUCAAACAGCAGAUUAGAGAGAUUGUUUUCUUGAAGAACACAGUGAUGGAGUGUGAAGCCUGUGG